UGACCUUCACACUCAAGCACACAAACAUUCACACACACCCACACACAUCUGCCCACAGUAAACUCCAGACACAUUUGAUGACGCACAUGUUUUGCUUUGAGAAGAGAAAGGUUUUUGGUAAGUUUUCAGUCUUUUGAUGCAGUUCGUGUUGGACAACGAGAGAGAACAGACCUGAAAACCAAAGGGGGGGCAGAGCCUGUUGGCUCGUUCUUCCCCCCUUUCACGCUGUUUCUGCCAAGCCAGGCAGAAUAGCUGAAUCGCAACUUCUAACGAAGACUCAUUACCGAGUCUUUUGAUUUCUGAGUGAAUUAACUUAAGAAAGCGCAUCGAUAAAACGCUCUACCAUCCACGUGUAUCGAGGGCAACUCUGGACCGGUUCCGUUCGACACCUACGUCUCCUGUCAGCCGCCGGUGUCAUCUGGAUGAACCACAACAUCCUCCACGGCCCGGAUCCGAAAGAGGGUCCACAAGAGUUCGCCUGGGCAGGACUGCGGGAAGGCCGCUGAAGCGUUCAGGGUCACUGCAACCCUCCAACCUCAAUGCUCCUCCCCCUAUCCACACUGAGGUGACAUGCGCUGCUUAUCGUGGCUGCAGGAACUGAAGUGGGGAUAGUCCCAAUCCACCACCCCACCUAGUGGACACUUAUGUUGUUUUGUCUGAAGUCUGUUGCAUAUCUGUCUGAGGUGUUUUUUUGCAGAGCAAAGCUGCCCUCCUGGUGGACGGCAACUCUGAAGUGCCUUUUUUUCCCUCCACCUGAACCAAUCCUCAUGUAACCCUCUGAUCUCUAUUAAGGUAGCGCGACUCAGGGUUGCGAAUGACCACAGUCACCAAUUCUUGUCAUGUGUCUUGUCCAUGUAUGUCUGAUCUCUGAAUUGUGUGUACUGAAACUCUAAUUUCCCUCUGGGAUUAAUAAAGUGUCUUUGAUUUGUU